CUCCAUAAAUGUGGCAGUUUCCAGCUGUUCAUUUAUAUUACAGAACGAGGCAGUAGAAACGCUAAAUGGGAGCAAGUGGGAGCUCAGCUCCUGUGAUCAGGGCUGCCUGAUGGUCUGAAGAAGUACAACACUUCUCACUGGGCUAAAAACAAGGUGUCAGCAGGGCUGUGUUGCUAUCUGGAGGCUCCAGGCAAGAAUCUGUUUCCUUGCCUUUUCUGGUUCUAGGGCCACCUGUAUUCCAUGGCUCAUGGUCCCCUUCCUCCAUCUACACAGUCAGAAUGGUGGGUUGAGUCCAUUCCACAUCACUCUGACUUUGUUUGUAGUCUCACAUUUUCUUUGACUCUCCCCUUCUGCCUCCUUCUUCCACUUAGAAAAAUUCUUGAAAUUACAUUGGUCCACCUGGACAAUUCA